UGGGGAAUAUUGGACAAUGGGCGCAAGCCUGAUCCAGCAAUGCCGCGUGUGUGAAGAAGGCCUGCGGGUUGUAAAGCACUUUGAGCGGGAAAGAAGGCGCGGGGGCUAACACCUUCCGCGAUUGACGUUACCCGCAGAACAAGCACCGGCUAACUCCGUGCCAGCAGCCGCGGUAAUACGGAGGGUGCGAGCGUUAAUCGGAAUUACUGGGCGUAAAGCGCGCGUAGGCGGCCCGGCCAGUCCGACGUGAAAGCCCCGGGCUCAACCUGGGAACUGCGUGGGAUACUGCCGGGCUGGAGUGCGGGAGAGGGGUGUGGAAUUUCCGGUGUAGCAGUGAAAUGCGUAGAGAUCGGAAGGAACACCAGUGGCGAAGGCGGCACCCUGGACCGACACUGACGCU
rnacentral:rRNA from 1 species